GAUUUCUGGUGUUUUACUCUUAGCCCACCACGGUUACGUGUGUGAGUGCCUAGAUGUAUACACCAUCCUUCUAGUUAUAACAAUUAGUUUCAGCUCUUAAUUGAGUUGAGAUUAAUCUGUGUCUAGAUCUUUUACUUUGAAAAAAUUAGAGUGUUUAAAGCAGGCUUUUGCUAUGAAUACAUUAGCAUGGAAUAAUAAUUUAGGACUUUGUUUCUAUUUUGUUGGUUUCUAGGGAUGAAGUAAUGAUUGAUAGGGAUAGUUGGGGGUGCUAGUAUUCAGUGGCCAGAGGUGAAAUUCUCGGAUUCACUGAAGACUAACUUAUGCGAAAGCAUU
rnacentral:rRNA from 1 species